AAAACUCGCUGUUUAGCAGCAGAGACGAGCAGCUCCGGGAUCCGCCGCCCCUAUUGGCCGAGUCUGAAUGAGAAGGCAGGUGCGGUCAGUCUGCAAUUAGACUUCAAUCCGCGGCUGUUUAGCGGUUCCGACGCCCGAGUCGCUUCUCUGUCUUUAAAUAGCGAGUUUGCAAACAAAGAAAGUUUCGCAAAUUUACCGUUUAGCUGGAGCUGUGGGAUUCUAGGCGAAGGUUGACGGCUUCUCUUGGUGGAAAAUGUAAUAAAAUGGGGCUUGAAAAAUAAAGUGAAAUUCGGAACUCACUUUUGUCGGAGCUGCCGGACGGGCUGUCGGACUUGUGGCUUCGUCUCUGCGGAGAGAAACAUGUAUCCUGACGAGGCUCUGGGCUUUAAACGACGGCUGUCGGAUUCUUCACGGCGUGGAGACCUGAGCGCAGACCCACCCGAGUGACCGGAGCUCCGCGGCGGAUUCACAAGCGAGUCCGAGUCUCCGGUCAGGAAAGAGCAGCUUCAAGGCUCGUUUAGGACUGAAAACCACUUUUGCUGGGACUUCGUCACUCUUACCGGUAACGCUGACUCUCAACCCGGGCGUAUCUGGACUCGCCGACUCACUGUGCAGCUGCAGGUCCGGCUGGGUUUUCUUUCUCCGGAGCCGGUUUGCAUGAAGACGCGCCGACCGCUCCGUUUAGCUUGAACAAGGGGAAACUCGUAAUUUCAGUUACCGGUAACUGACCGCAGGAAACUGGAGCCCAGCCGUGUGAGACCCGGUGUGAGGAGAAAGAGAGAGAGAAGCCGCUUACCUUGCUCUCGAAACGUCGCCUGCCCCUGUCCUGCUGUAAAGCCGAGCAAAGCGCCUGUACCGGAGAGCAGCGGGGUACCAGCCGCCUCUCUCCCAGCCAGCGAGCCGCCGGAGUCCCCCCACCUCCC